UUAAAUUGAGAGUUUGAUCCUGGCUCAGGACGAACGCUGGCGGCGUGCCUAAUACAUGCAAGUCGAACGAAACUUUCUUACACCGAAUGCUUGCAUUCAUCGUAAGAAGUUGAGUGGCGGACGGGUGAGUAACACGUGGGUAACCUGCCUAAAAGAAGGGGAUAACACUUGGAAACAGGUGCUAAUACCGUAUAUCUCUAAGGAUCGCAUGAUCCUUAGAUGAAAGAUGGUUCUGCUAUCACUUUUAGAUGGACCCGCG
rnacentral:rRNA from 1 species